rnacentral:rRNA from 1 species
UACGUAGGGUCCGAGCGUUGUCCGGAAUUAUUGGGCGUAAAGGGCUCGUAGGCGGUCUGUUGCGUCGGGAGUGAAAACUUAUAGCUUAACUGUGAGCGUGCUUCCGAUACGGGCAGACUUGAGGUAUCCAGGGGAGAACGGAAUUCCUGGUGUAGCGGUGAAAUGCGUAGAUAUCAGGAGGAACACCGGUGGUGUAGACGGCUCUCUGGACAGUAACUGACGCUGAGACACGAAAGCGUGGGUAGCAAACAGG